rnacentral:rRNA from 1 species
UUUCCCUCAUCUCUUUCUUGCUUCCUACCUUCCGAGGCGUGCGCUGCAGUGAGAUUCGCGGAGCUGGUUGUGGACGAUGUUUUCACGGCGCCGUGCAACACGUCGGUCCUCUACCCGACGGCAGGAGGCAACAUGCACCGUUUCACAGCCAUCGCGCCGUGCGCCAUCCUUGACAUCCUUGGUCCCCCUUACUCCAUCGAAGAGGACCGAGAUUGCACCUACUACACGGAUGUUCCCUACUCCUCCCAGCAUCCUAGAAAGUUGAAAGUUGUUGCCAAUCUUGAUCUUAGAAGUCUAAGCUAG